GACGUCAGAAUCGCCAUGGCCAGCUAUCCGAACCGGCAGGGCUGCCCAGGAGCUGCAGGACAAGCACCAGGAGUCCCUCCGGGUAGCUACUACCCUGGACUCCCCAAUAGUGGAGGGCAGUAUGGCAGUGGGCUACCCCCUGGUGGUUAUGAGGGUCCUGCCCCUGGAGGGCCUUAUGGACCACCAGCUGGUGGAGGGCCUUAUGGAUACCCCACUCCUGGGAUGUUCCCCUCUGGAACUCCAGGAGGACCAUAUGGUGGUGCAGCUCCAGGGGGCCCCUAUGGUCAGCCACCUCCAAGUUCCUAUGGUGCCCAGCAGCCUGGGCCUUAUGGACAGGGUGGCGCCCCUCCCAAUGUGGAUCCUGAGGCCUACUCCUGGUUCCAGUCGGUGGACUCAGAUCACAGUGGCUAUAUCUCCAUGAAGGAGCUAAAGCAAGCCCUGGUCAACUGCAAUUGGUCCUCAUUCAAUGAUGAGACCUGCCUCAUGAUGAUAAACAUGUUUGACAAGACCAAGUCAGGCCAUAUCGAUGUCUACGGCUUCUCAGCCCUGUGGAAAUUCAUCCAACAGUGGAAGAACCUCUUCCAGCAGUAUGACCAGGACCACUCGGGCUCCGUUAGACACAGAGCUGCAGCAAGCUCUGUCCCAAAUGGGCUACAACCUGAGCCCCCAGUUCACCCAGCUUCUGGUCUCCCGCUACUGCCCACGCUCUGCCAGUCCUGCCAUGCAGCUGGACCGCUUCAUCCAGGUAUGCACCCAGCUGCAGGUGCUGACAGAGGCCUUCUCGGAGAAGGACACAGCUGUACAAGGCAACAUUCGGCUCAGCUUCGAGGACUUCGUCACCAUGACAGCUUCUCGGAUGCUAUGACCCAACCCAUCUGUGGAGUGGAGUGCACCAGGGACCUUUCCUGGCUUCUUAGAGUGAGAGAAGUAUGUGGACAUCUCUUCUUUUCCUGUCCCUUUAGAAGAACAUUCUCCCUUGCUUGAUGCAACACUGUUCCAAAAGAGGGUUGAGAGUCCUGCAUCAUAGCCACCAAAUAGUGAGGACCGGGGCUGAGGCCACACAGGUAGGGGCCUGAUGGAGGAGAGGAUGGAAGUUGAAUGUCCUGAUGGCCAUGAGCAGUUGAGUGGCACAGCCUGGCACCAGGAGCAGGUUCUUGUAAUGGAGUUAGUGUCCAGUCAGCUGAGCUCCACCCUGAUGCCAGUGGUGAGUGUCCAUUGGCCCAUUACCGUUACUACCUGUGUUCCCUCACCAGGCCAUCCUGUCACACGAGCCCAUUUUCUCCAAAGUGGAAUCUGACCAAGCAUGAGAGAGAUCUGCCCAUGGGACCAGUGGCUUGGAUUCCGCCACACCCAUAAAUCCUUGUAUGUUAACUUCUAACUGCCUGGGGCUGGCCCUGCUCAGACAAAUCUGCUCCCUGGGCCUCUCUGGCCAGGCUCUGCCUCCACGGCUGGGAGCCCUCACUUGCCUGCCAUGCUCUGCUCAGCUUCAGUCUCCAGGGGACAGUGGGCACCUCUCCCUGCCAAUACUUUUUUUAAUUUGCAUUUUUUUUUUCAUUUGGGGCCAAAAGUCCAGUGAAAUUGUAAGCUUCAAUAAAAGGAUGAAACUCUGG